UUAUCGCGUCUUUCAUGUACAAAAUAUUGCCAUGAUAAUCCCUUCAUUUUGGACAUCAGAUGGCACAAAAACCCUAGGAAGCACAUUUUGUAACAAAACACACACAAAAAUAUAGGACCUAUUAAAAUAAACGCUUACAGUGUGGCCAUACCACGUGGUUUGUGACGUCAUUUUGGCUAGCACGCUAAGUAGAAAUUUGUCAACAUUGGCCCCGCUUAGAAAUUUCAAAUCCACGCACUUCUUCUAUACAACCUCGAAAAAGAAUGUGUACAAACUCGUUGGUCAAUAUAACGUCGAUGGCAAAGGUGAAGAUGAACCAAACAUCAAGAGCUCUUCCGAUAUUCGUGACCACGAGUUUGACAACCCUGGGAGACUGCGCGUGAAACCGAAGGCAAAAGAGGCCAAAAUGGACUCGAGUCGAAAUGCCGUUGCCAGGGAAACUUUAGGUGAACGGUGGGACUGUGCGAGGAGAAACGAAAGCAAGUUAUUGCCUACGUACAGACUUGGACUAGACAUGGAAGAAAUUUGAUAAGA